rnacentral:lncRNA from 1 species
CAUUCUCGAGCUCAGAUGAGUUUUUGUCCUCCCUUGGUCGUUUUCAUGUUUUUCUUCAUUUCCUUCUUGUCUUUAUGAGUUUCUUGGUUGUUUUGAAGAGUUUUCAAGCUUAGAUCUAAGUUUUGGGAGCUUGGAGACCCAAGGAGUAGUUUCCUCCCAUCUCCAAGUUAGGGAUCACACCAACCCUCGAUCUCCAAGAGGUAAGUGUAGAUCUUUGCUUUCCUUUAUGUUUUAAUGAAGUUUUAAGAGGUUUUAAUGGUUGAGUAUGGGUAGAUAUGCAUGUUUAGGUUUAUGUGGGUUUUAUGCCCAAUGUAUGCUUAUGCCUGUUUAUGUAUGUUUAUGUGAUGUUAUGAUGAAGGUUUAAGCUAGUUUAUGCAUGUGGGAGAGUGUAUGCAUGAUUGGGAGAGAGCAACUGAGGUUUUGAGUAGUUU